CUGCUCAGCACCCACAGGGACAGGCCUGCACACUGUCAUGACCUGCUAAGAACUACACAAACAGCAGCAAACUCCUUGUUAUUAGGAGGGGGUUGGGUGGAGGGGAGCACUAGAUCAUGAUGGAUUAGUCCUAAUCAAGUAUAGAUUUUUGACCAUAGCCAAGUCUAGUUAUUCCCAGUCAUCAUUCUUGGGGCAGGAAACCCUGCACAUUUAAGUAUUUUCUAUUCCGAAAACACAUGAUUCUAUUUGAUUCUAGCAAAUUACUUGUCUCCAGAGCUCCAGGUCUUUUUUCCCUCUUUAAAUAACAUUCCCCUAUACAAAGGAAAUAUAUUUACACAUAUUUCUCAAAAUAUGUGUCAGGUUUGUGAAGUAUUUCCAUAUAUGUUUGAUAUAUAAAUUUAGGCAUCAAAAAUAACACUGUUGUGUAUAUUUCAUCUACAUGUAUGCACAUUUUUAAAUAUAUUGGGAAAUAUACAUAUUGACAUAUAUUUAGAUAUUUAAAAAUGGCAUAGUUACCUAUAUCUAGUACCAUUAUUUUACAAUAUACACUGUUAAUAGAGCAAAUACACUGAUAAGUCAAACAUUGGGGCCACCUGCUAAUAUGCUUCUGGUUCUUAAACAGAUCUGACCUGCUGAGGCAUGGACUCUACUAGACUUCUGAAAGUGCCCUGUGGUAUCCAACACUAAGACAUUAACAGCAGAUCCUUUAAGUCCUGUAAGUUGUGAGGUGGAGCCACCUCAUAUUGGACUUAUUGUCCCGGCACAUACCACAGAUGCUGGAUCAGAUUGAGAUCUUGGGAAUUUGGAGUCAAGGGCAACACCUUGAGCUCUGCUACAUGUUCCUCACACCGUUCGCAAACAGUGUAUAGUGUGGAAGGGGGCACUGUUCUGCUAAAAGAGGCCACUGUCACUGGGGAAUACCACUAAGGAGUGUACUUGAUCCACAACAAUAUUUAGGUAGGUGGCACGUGUCAAACUGAUGCCCACAUGAAAGGCUGGAUCCAGGGUUUCCCACCAAACCAUUGACCAAAGCAUCACACUCUCUUCGCUGUCUUCCCACAGUGCAUCCCGGAGUCAUCACAUCCCCAGGAGGGGUAUUUUUAUUGGAACAAAAAGUAACAGAUCCUGCCUUCCGCCCGAAGACUGCUGGGAUAGGCUCCAGCACCCCCCCCGCGACCCUGACGGAGAAGCGGAUUAGAAAAUGGGUGGAUGGAUGGAAAAAGAAUAAAUGUUACCAUUGCAAAUGGAGCUAACUCCUGCACUCAAAUCAGUACCACUUGCCUGUUCUUAAAACUAGAAUACUGAAAGUUAUUUGGGUGCAUGAAUGAGCUUACCAUGAAGUGCUGUUCUUGUGUAAGGCCCCCUGAAACAUCAUUACAUUUUUCGUGUGGGGGGGAUAGGGAUCACUCAUAAAUAUGAGACUGAUGAAGCUGAAGUGCAUUUCUUUAGAUGGUGAAAACUAGCAGCAGCAGUAAAAGAAUCUGCUUUGAAAACAUGAUCCUAAAUUUCUCCCACUUGCCAGAAUAGUGUGCAAUUACUUUGACAUGAUUGCCUUGUUGUUUUUGUUUUUUUAUGGUUUUCACAUAUUGAUCGGUUGUUUUGUGAAAAUUGCAGGGUACUGAGCCUGGAAGGAGGAGUAGAAUGGAUUAGAAAACUGCAGUGAAGGUUUCACAGAGAAAUGAAAGAAGGGAGCUGAGGCACUGAGAGUAAAAGAGAGAAGCAGGGGGCAAAGAGCCACACAGGCACAGUACUUAAGUUGUCAGCAUUGGGGAUAACUGGCAUUGCAGUGCUAACUGUGUGGGUUUAUGCUCACACACACACACACACACACACACACACACACACACACACACAGUUUCUUGCUCUCUGACUUUGUUUCUCUGAGGCCUAGUUGAGGCCGUGUCAGCAGCAGCUCUUAUCGGGGUGAGUUAUGGGCCUGUCUGCAGUAAUGGUCUGUCACACACUCUGCCUGCCAGCUGUCUGACUUGCUCUUCUCCUACUUGGUCAUACCACAUAAGCAGCUCUGCCACUGACCACUCACCAAGACACACAGAGAGAACAGAGAGAAAGUGUAGAAAGAGAGAACAGAGUUUGAGUUAGCAUGAUUAUGCAUUCUCAGGAAGUAUUUGUUCAUUAAUAACACAUUGUUUUACCUGUAUUUUUAUAUAGGCAAAUUUUCCCCAUCAGUUUGAACUCAUUUGGUGUUAAAAAUAACAGGGCACAGGGAUGUGUCUGUUUAAAGACAUGGCGUGUUAUUUUAACACUGUUUUAACGCAUUUGAUCUGAGAGUGUGCUUAUGGAUCAUUUUACAGAAUUAUUAAGUCAACAUUUUGGACUUUUAACUGAUUUGAACUUUAGACUUAAAUGCUUUUGCUUUGAUUGACCCAGUGCCUUAAUUAUGAUUAUUUUAUUAAAUUAAGUGAUUGAACAUUCCAUUUUGUCACUACCAAAACAAUCAUAACACCACUGAAACUUUACCAAAUAUUUCAACCGUGACUGUUUUGAAACUUUACCAAAUAUUUCAACAGUUUUGGUAGUGACAAUUAUAGCUAACUCAAAAACACUAGUCAGUACAUGACCAGCAACUAGAACUUUGAACAGCUGUUCACACAGAAAUAAUAAUAUUUUUAAUUAUAAAGUUGCUAUAUUACAUGCAGAUUUUCAGAUUUUGGGACACAUUUGCUUCAAAACUGUUGGAUUUAACUGUUCACAAUGUGGCUGUGAGGAACAGGGAUGCAGUCUCACUUCCUGCUCUAAAAUGCUGCGGUGUGGCUAAAAUAAUCUAAUAAAAUAUAAUAAACUCAUGAUAAAUCUAAAUCUUUCAAAUUUUAAUAUAUAUAUAUAUAUAUAUAUAUAUAUAUAUAUAUAUAUAUUUUUUUUUUUUUUUUUUCUUUUUUUUUUUUUUUUCACAAGUAAAUUUAGGAGUUAGGCUUUGGGACAGCCACCUCCCAAUAGAAAAUACCCUAUAAAUGUUGAUUUGUUGUAUAUUUAGCCUAUCUCAAUUAAUACAUUGGGUUUAAAUAGAUCAUAAUACAAUACUUGUACAUAUAUAUGAACUGAUUUUUUGUUGUUGUUUUGUAUUGUUUGGUUUGGUUUUAUUUAUUUAUUUAUUUAUAAAAUAUAAAACUCAAAAUUACC
ensembl:lncRNA